ACACACACACACACACACACACACUAUGGCGUCAGAAUCGUGUCAAAACAAUCAAAGCAACUCGCAGCAACGUGUCUGUACACGCAUGAUUAUUUUCUUACGCGUGCGUGCGUUGUCGUGUGCAGAUUGUAUUUCACGCGUAACAAGAAGCUGCGUGCGUAUGAAGCAGCGCGUACACGCCUGUCUGUCACUGUUUGACAAAUACUAUUACGCGUUCACACACGCGUGCGGUCGCCAUACACAAUAGAACGUUUCUGCACCGUGCGUACCAGCCCGCCUCACAUGAGCGUGUCGUGUAAUUGGCCUUUUCAUUUUAGUCAGCCAGGGGAGGCAGCAGUGAGCCAUACUGGCGGAAAAGAAGAAGACGAAGAAGAGUCUCCCCUUUUCGACCGAGGCAGUUCCGGUUCGAGGUUGGAGUCGGUGGCCGAUUCGGCUCCGGUUUUUUGUUUUUCAACAGGCGGUGGGCCGCCUCCGGGCUCCAAAAACUGGGACUCGCACCGGCCCCAACUCGUUGCUGGGCCAGAGGUGGCCCGAGGUGAGAGCCCAGUACGUCAGGGGCUGGGGUUACAGUCCGACCGUCAACAGCGGAAACACAGAAGCGCCGUUUUUAAACAGCCGAGUGAGCAGCAGUAAUGUUCAAUGUUUGUGUUUUAAAAACCGGUAAAUAUAGAAGCAAAAUCCAAGUAGCAACGGUCUGAGGAGGAGACCCAAAGCUUCCCGGAACUGUGGUCUUCAUAUUAAAUUCAGUGGAAGUUAGAGGGAGCCUCUUGGACCACACCAGUGUUCGAAACAAUCCAGUGGGAGACGGCUACAGCUGUACGAACGGAGCCUGACUAACUCCUCAACAACUAAAAAGUUCAGAAAUGACGACAAGAACCAGAAAAGGCAGCCGGGAUGCAGCAGUUUUUGGCCAAAAAGAGCCCCGAUUUUUUCCGGCUGCAUUCCGUGAUUCCAACCAGGUCCCUGGACGCAACAGCUGAGCAUUCCGUGAUUCCAACCGGGUCCCUGAACGCAACAGCUGAGCAGGAGUUGAUGCAGGCCGCAGUACCGAUCAUGAUAGUUGUCGGCCUCGGAUGAUGAGGUCCAGUUACCAGGAUCACUACUCUGCAGCUUACUGGUUCCGUCCUGCAGCUCCUUCAUGCUGUCCUCCUCGCUACAGACCAAAUCAAGAUAAAGGAACCAGGAUGCUACUGUGGAUCUGCUGCAGUAUCUGGAGACGUCAGAGGAACGGUUCUUGAAACAGAUCUGAAGACACCGAGACCUGACCACUGCCCUGCUCCAGAACAUCCAGAGGACGGAUGAAAAUUCAAUCACCUUUGCUGGACUGAUGGGACGCAUGUGUCGGUGCUGGAGCGACUGUCACAGAAAUAAACUGCAUUGUCCACUAUUCCUACCUUUUUUAGAAAAAGUAAUCAUAUUUUUUAUAAAUUAUUUUCCUUCUUAGCAAUUUAAGUACACUGGUAUUUUACUCUUGCACUUUGGGUGAAUACAAAUAUAUUUGUGAUGAAA